rnacentral:rRNA from 1 species
UACGGAGGGGGCUAGCGUUGUUCGGAAUUACUGGGCGUAAAGCGCACGUAGGCGGCUUUGUAAGUUAGAGGUGAAAGCCCGGGGCUCAACUCCGGAAUUGCCUUUAAGACUGCAUCGCUAGAAUUGUGGAGAGGUAAGUGGAAUUCCGAGUGUAGAGGUGAAAUUCGUAGAUAUUCGGAAGGACACCAGUGGCGAAGGCGACUUACUGGACACAUAUUGACGCUGAGGUGGCGAAAGCAGUGGGGAGCAAACAGG